rnacentral:rRNA from 1 species
AUUGAACGCUGGCGGCAUGCUUUACACGUGCAAGUCGAACGGCAACACGGGGGCAACCCUGGUGGCGAGUGGCGAACGGGUGAGUAAUGCAUCGGAACGUGCCCUGUCGUGGGGGAUAACACAUCGAAAGAUGUGCUAAUACCGCAUACGACCUGAGGGUGAAAGCGGGGGACCGUAAGGCCUCGCGCGAUAGGAGCGGCCGAUGUCUGAUUAGCUAGUUGGUGGGGUAAAGGCCUACCAAGGCGACGAUCAGUAGCUGGUCUGAGAGGACGACCAGCCACACUGGGACUGAGACACGGCCCAGACUCCUACGGGAGGCAGCAGUGGGGAAUUUUGGACAAUGGGGGCAACCCUGAUCCAGCCAUGCCGCGUGCGGGAAGAAGGCCUUCGGGUUGUAAACCGCUUUUGGCAGGAACGAAACGGUGCGGGCGAAUACCCUGUGCUAAUGACGGUACCUGCAGAAUAAGCACCGGCUAACUACGUGCCAGCCGCCGCCGUAACAC